CCUACGGGAGGCAGCAGUGGGGAAUAUUGCACAAUGGGGGAAACCCUGAUGCAGCGACGCCGCGUGAGUGAAGAAGUAUUUCGGUAUGUAAAGCUCUAUCAGCAGGGAAGAAAAUGACGGUACCUGAUUAAGAAGCCCCGGCUAACUACGUGCCAGCAGCCGCGGUAAUACGUAGGGGGCAAGCGUUAUCCGGAUUUACUGGGUGUAAAGGGAGCGUAGACGGCAGCAGAAGGCUGGAGUGAAAUGCCGGGGCUUAACCCCGGAACUGCUUUGGAAACUGUGCAGCUAGAGUGCAGGAGAGGUAAGUGGAAUGCCUAGUGUAGCGGUGAAAUGCGUAGAUAUUAGGAGGAACACCAGUGGCGAAGGCGGCUUACUGGACUGUAACUGACGUUGAGGCUCGAAAGCGUGGGGAGCGAACAGGAUUAGAUACCCCUGUAGUC
rnacentral:rRNA from 1 species